rnacentral:rRNA from 1 species
CAAAUGACUCUCGGCAAUGGAUAUCUCGGCUCUUGCAUCGAUGAAGAACGUAGUGAAAUGCGAUACUUGGUGUGAAUUGCAGAAUCUCGUGAACCAUUGAGUCUUUGAACGCAAGUUGUGCCCGAGGCCUCGUGUCGAGGGCACGCCUGCUUGGGGGUCAUG